UUUGCCGGUCGGAUGGCCGCCCGCCGCGCUUUGUGGCGGGAGGAAAGUCCGGGCUCCCGGAGCAGCGUGGUGGGUAACACCCAUCCUCAUCGGGAAUUCUUUCCCGGUGAGAGGAUCAGAGCAACAGAGACGAGUUCCGCCAUAAGGCGCGGCGGAGGUGAAACGGGCAAUCUCCACGCGGAGCAAGGUUAAAUAGGGGAAGAAUCCAACGUCUUGGGUUUCGGGGACGUUGGAGGGAGUUCGCUCCGAUUCCCUUGAUUCUCGGGUAGACCGCUACUUCCCGUGUUUUUUGCGGGAGACGAUCCUGUCCAGCAAUGGCAGGACAAGAGAGAUGGCCAUCGCCUCCCUUUGGGAGGGCACAGAACCCGGCUUACAGAUCGGCAAAAGGC
rnacentral:RNase_P_RNA from 1 species